UGCGCGCGGUGCUGUCGGUACAAAUCUGCCUCACACUCCUCACCCCGUCAAACGGAGAGAUGGAGGUGAAAGAGAGAGAGAGAGAGAGACAGGUGGAGGGAGACACUUUAAUCUCGUCCUUCUGCUCGCGCUCGCACCUGCAGAACCUCUCUCGCGCGCUUGAAAGAGGUGCGCGUGCGGCCCCCGCGCGCCUCCACGAGUUUAACGCGCCCGGUUACCGGCUGCCGCUGCGAGGCCAUAAUAACAAACACAAGCUGUGAAGAGAAUAUUAUACCAUUUUAAAAGCCUCCUGCUCAGGCUCUUGGGAACCGAAGGGAUUCGAGUCUUAAAUGGACGGGUCUUUUGUUCAACAAGAUGGAUUGUGUAGAGCAUCCUGCAUUCAAUAGCUUAAAGACACCGGGAGAGACAGCGAGGCUGGAAAGGAAGGGACACAGCAAAGAGUGACAGGAAGAUGGAGGAAGAAAAGAAAAGAGUGCAUAACAGGAAAAAGUGUUCAUUUCUGUCAGGAUGGUGUGAGCGAAACGGAGGGAUGGGAGGAAGAGAUGAUUACAGCAGAGUAACUUUGGAGCAAAAGGACAGCGAGAGACGUUUCUGAAGCGUUGAAGGAGAUACGCGCACGAGAGAGGGAGAGGAAGCGAAGGGUCGAUUUAUCUUAUAUUGACAGGAGCGGCUUCAAACGAUGACCUUGAGGACUAAUGAGAGUAAAUGAGUGAAAUAUUUUUCACUUUUAAAAAGUGAAACUAUAAUCAAAUGGAAGCCUGAAAGAUGGACUAAUGAGCUUCAGCGAUGAUGAAAGCAUGCGUGAGAGAGAGCGAGGGAUACGGACUGAUAGAACGAGAGAGAGGGAGGUAGUCAUCUGGCAGAGCCUGCAGUGUCAGGCCCUCACUCCUGCCAUCUCAUUAGUUGACCUGACGACUGCCUGAUUAGAAUACGUUUGAUGAAAAUUUCAAGGAUUUUUCCCCCCCCUCAACAUUCAAAAUUUUUUGGUGUGAUUUAAUAAAUAUUGCACAACUUUUUAUUCCAGACAGAGAAACUGGGAGGUAAUUAAUUACGAUUAAAGCAGUCUGGACCGAGUUGAUUUACCGUCAUUAUUCGCCCCGAAAUCAACAAAUAUAUUCAAAACGUGGAGACAGAAAUGGACAAAUAUUCAGACGCACACAUCCAGAAACUUGUUGCCCACACACUCGCAUGCCAGAUGUUAUUUCACUCAACACAAACUGAAUUUGUACCCUUCAAAAUUAAUUGAACAUCUUAUUUCAAGCUGUCAAGUUUGUUCUAGAUGCUUCAUUCUUUGGUGUUUUCAUGCCGGUUUGCAAAACAUCUUUCUGUGCAUUAGUGCCACCAAAUGACUUAAUCUUUAUUUGGCGGCAUGGUGUAGAAGUAAUCUUGCUAAAGUGGAUUUGAUGUUUGUUUGGUGAUUUGCUUUUUGUCGUGGCUUUAGAAACAGUUACUUGUUUUUAAUGCUGUUUUCAGUGAACUAAAACACUAAUGUGCCUUUGUAAAAAUGUUUUUGAA